GUGGGGAAUAUUGGACAAUGGGGGCAACCCUGAUCCAGCCAUGCCGCGUGAAUGAUGAAGGCCUUCGGGUUGUAAAGUUCUUUUGGAGGGGACGAUGAUGACGGUACCCUCAGAAUAAGCUCCGGCUAACUUCGUGCCAGCAGCCGCGGUAAUACGAAGGGAGCUAGCGUUGUUCGGAAUUACUGGGCGUAAAGGGCGCGUAGGCGGUUUGGUUAGUCAGAUGUGAAAGCCCAGGGCUUAACCCUGGAACUGCGUUUGAUACUGCCAAGCUUGAAUUCGGGAGAGGUGAGUGGAAUUCCCAGUGUAGAGGUGAAAUUCGUAGAUAUUGGGAAGAACACCGGUGGCGAAGGCGGCUCACUGGACCGACAUUGACGCUGAGGCGCGAAAGCGUGGGGAGCAAACAGGAUUAGAAACCCUUGUAGUCC
rnacentral:rRNA from 1 species